rnacentral:lncRNA from 1 species
AUGGAUCUGGGUAUGAGAGAAGCCCACCUCGGAAUAUGAGUCUGGUGGAUAUGGUGGGAGGUCAGAGAGGACUGAGCAUGAGGCCCCGAGUUACGGGAGACAGAGUUAUGAAACUCAGGAAAGUGAGGGGUAUGGAGGAUCCAGCUAUGGGCGAUCUGAAUAGGGGGAAUAUAGGAAGCCUAGCUAUGAGAGGCAUGGUGAUGAUG